ACGAAUCAAUAGAAAUAAAAAGAAACAAAAAUUCAAUCAACGAUAGGAAAGACACGGAUAACCUAAAUAGAAUUUAUUUUAAUCUAAUUUAAUUAAUAAUAAAUCACACCAUCAAUAAAAAAUUCUUAAAAUAACAUAUUUCCACUUUGUAUCCCUUCACAACAUAAAAGAUACGCUCCUGUAAUUAACUAUAAAAUAUGUUUGGACAGUAAGCAAUGAGAUAUCAACACUCAAUUUUUAAUUUGUGUCUGUUCAUCGUCGUUAGUGUGUCGUUUUACGUGUUUGAAUCAAUCUUGACAAAGGUGAGAGAUAUCCACCGAAACGUUGAUUGUGUAUAAAUGGAAAAUAAAAUCUAGUUCCAAAUUUAAAACCUAAUCUUUGAACCUAAACCCAAGAAAAA
rnacentral:lncRNA from 1 species